CACUCACUUGAUCCUAAAACAUUUAUUUUAUUUUGACUCUAUUCCAACGGUGUUGAUUAUUCUUUUUUUAGUCCACUGGAAUUUUAUUAAAAGAAACUCAGCCCAACAAGACCAAGCCCUAUACAAACCAAAACGAAAAAGCAAGACGAAGCCCAACUAACAUUAAGACGGAAACCCAACACACGGGCCCAACACAGAAAGGAAAACCGUCGAGGAAGCAAGCUUCACGACACGUCAUCUUCCACGUGGGACGAUCGCCGGCGAUCAAUGAGACACGGUCAAAGCGAGGAACCACUUCCUUCCACCGGAACCGGAGGAGGCGACGGAACUCCGCCGACGACGAAGACGAACCACUGAAGAACCAAUCUUCACAGAGGCUCAAACCGAAAGCCAAAACCGGUGGAUCUACAAUUCGAAGAAACAACGGCCUUCAAUCGAUCCUAAUCAACAGAGGAUUGGGGCGAGAGGCGAUCGGACAACGAAGAACUGAAUCGUAGAUCGGCGGUCGCCGGCGAGAACGAUUCCAUGAAGACAUCGUCUCCCCGCUCUUUGGGCCGAAUCGACAUCGAGAGGCGAAAAGCUAGGGGAGCGAAUGGGAUUAGAUACCCCAAGUAGUCUGGCCGUAAACGAUGGAUACUAAAGCAUUUGUCGCGUAUCGACCCGCAGCGAUGUCAGUAGCGCGUUAAGUAUCCCGCCUGGGGGAAUGCGUUCGCAAGAAUGAAACUCAAAGGAAUUGUGGGGGCCCGCCUGGCGGUGGAGCAUGUGGUUUAAUUCGAUGCAAAGCGAAAAGAACCUUACCGGGGCUUGACAUGCCGCGAAUCCUCUUGAAAGAGAGGGGUGCCUUCGAACGCGGACACAGGUGGUGCAUGGGCUGUCGUCAUUUCGCGGCCGUAAGGUGUUGGGUUAAGUCCCGCAACGAAGCGCUGAACCCUCGUGUUUAGUUGCCACCGUUGAGUUUGGAACCCGAACAGAUUGCCGGUGAUAAGCCGGAGGAAGGUGAGGAUGACGUCAAGUCAUCAUGCCCCUUAUGCCGGGGGCGACACACGUCGCUUCAAUGGCGGGACAAAGGUCGCGAUCCCGCGAGGGUGAGCUAACUCAAAAAAACCCGUCCUCGAUUCGGAUUGCAGGCUGCAACUUCGCUGCAUGAAGCCGGAAUCGCUAAUGUAAUCGCACGGUCGACCAUACGGGCGGUGAAUUCGUUCGGGCCUUGUACACACCGCCCGUCACACUAUGGGAGCUGGCCAUGCGAAGUCGUUACCUUAACCGCGAAGGAGGGGGUGUGCGAAGGGCGGGCUAAUAUUUGGAGUGAAGUCGUAACAAGGUAGCCGUACUGGAAGGUGCGGCUG
rnacentral:rRNA from 1 species